CACGUACUUCCUCCGUCCGAAAAUACUUGUCAUCACAAUGGAUAAAAAGAGAUGUAUCUAGAACUAAAAUAUGUCUAGAUACAUCCCCUUUUAUCCAUUUUGAUGACAAGUAUUUCCGGACGGAGGGAGUACUAC
rnacentral:pre_miRNA from 1 species